rnacentral:tRNA from 1 species
GGCCAGCUAGCUCAGUUGGUUAGAGUGUGGUGCUAAUAACACCAAGGUUAUGGGUUCAAGUCCUAUGCUGGCCA